UUUCAUCCUGAAGGAUUUGCUUACUUCCCGGGGACUGGAUUUUCUCUGUGUGACUGAGACGUGGCUAGCUGUUGGUGAGUCCAGCGCCCUCACAGAACUUUUAUCUGGGGAUUGCUGCUAUUUUAACUCCCCACGGACCUCGGGCCAAGGAGGAGGAAUAGCGACCAUUUAUAAAAGUCAUCAUAAAUUGAUGAAGCCUGUGGCGAUGGUGGCAAGGAAAAACUCCCUCAGACGACAUGAGGAAGAAAUCUCGAGAGGAACCAGGCUUCAUUUGGGUGGCACGGUUGUGUAGUGGUUGGCAUGGUUGUCUCACAGCAAGAAGAUUCCGGGUUCGAAUCCAGCGGCCGGUGAGGUCCUUUCUGUGUGGAGUUUGCUCUGGUUUCCUCCACAAUCCAAAGACAUGCAGUUAGGUUGACAUGGGGUGGCCUUGGGCUGAGGUGCCCUUGAGCAACCCCUGACUGCCCCCCGGGCUAAAUGCAGAGGAUGAAUUUCACUGUGCUUGAAGUAAAGGUUUCUUCUUCUAAACAGACAA